rnacentral:rRNA from 1 species
CGUCAAAUCAUCAUGCCCCUUAUGACCUGGGCUACACACGUGCUACAAUGGUUGGUACAACGAGUUGCGAGUCGGUGACGGCGAGCUAAUCUCUUAAAGCCAAUCUCAGUUCGGAUUGUAGGCUGCAACUCGCCUACAUGAAGUCGGAAUCGCUAGUAAUCGCGGACUCAGCACGCCGCGGUGAAUACGUUCCGGGCCUU